AUACGUAGGGGGCGAGCGUUGUCCGGAAUGAUUGGGCGUAAAGGGCGCGUAGGCGGCCCGGUAAGUCUGGAGUGAAAGUCCUGUUUUUAAGAUCGGAAUUGCUUUGGAUACUGUCGGGCUUGAGUGCAGGAGAGGUAAGUGGAAUUCCCAGUGUAGCGGAGAAAUGCGUAGAGAUUGGGAGGAACACCAGUGGCGAAGGCGACUUACUGGACUGUAACUGACGCUGAGGCGCGAAAGUGUGGGGAGCAAACAGGAUUAGAUACCCUGGUAGUCCACACUGUAAACGAUGAAUGCUAGGUGUAGGGGGUAUCGACCCCUUCUGUGCCGCAGUCAACACAAUAAGCAUUCCGCCUGGGGAGUACGGCCGCAAGGUUGAAACUCAAAUGAAUUGACGGGG
rnacentral:rRNA from 1 species